GGCUUGAGCUUCAGGACAGAGCCAGAGACAUUUUGUCUAAGAUGUUGCUCUCCAGUCUGCUGUGGGCAACUGUGGCAUCUGUCAUCCUUGGGAACAGUAUAGGCAAGAAAGUUACUCAAUUGCAAUCAUCAAUGACUGGACAAGAGGGGGAAGCUGUAACCCUGAGCUGCAAGUAUGACACCAGUGAAACUAAUUAUGGUCUAUUCUGGUACAAACAGCUUCCCAGCGGGGAGAUGAUUUUCCUUAUCCGUCAGAAUUCUUAUAACCAACAAAAUGCAACCGAGGAUCGAUAUUUGGUGAACUUCCAGAAAGUAAACAAAUCCAUCACUUUCACCAUUUUGGCCUCCCAGCUGCAAGACUCAGCAAUGUAUUUCUGUGUUUUCAGCGUGGGCACAGUGAGAAGAAUCACAGGAGGAGCCAUACAGAAAGAUCAGCGCACACCAUGCCACUGCUACCUGCUGCACAAGCCUCAUGAGGAGACAGGCAAACCUAGACAGGAAGGAACUGGGACUGGAGCACCACAGCUGGGUGGAGCUGACAGGAAGGCCAUUGCACUCUAA